AACACCGGCAGCUCUAGUGGUAGCAAUUUUAUUGGGCCUAAAGCGUCCGUAGCCGGUUUAAUAAGUCUCUGGUGAAAUCCUGCAGCUUAGCUGUGGGAAUUGCUGGAGAUACUAUAGACUGAGAUCGGGAGAGGUUAGAGGUACUCCCAGGGUAGAGGUGAAAUUCUGUAAUCCUGGGAGGACCGCCUGUUGCGAAGGCGUCUAACUGGAACGAUUCUGACGGUGAGGGACGAAAGUUAGGGGCGCGAACCGGAUUAGAUACCCGGGUAGUCCUAACUGUAAACGAUGCGGACUUGGUGUUGGGGUGGCUUUGAGCUGCUCCAGUGCCGAAGGGAAGCUGUUAAGUCCGCCGCCUGGGAAGUACGGUCGCAAGACUGAAACUUAAAGGAAUUGGCGGGGAGCACCACAACGCGUGGAGCCUGCGGUUUAAUUGGAUUCAACGCCGGACAUCUCACCAGAGGCGACAGCUGUAUGAUAGCCAGGUUGAUGACUUUGCUUGACUAGCUGAGAGGAGGUGCAUGG
rnacentral:rRNA from 1 species